rnacentral:rRNA from 1 species
CAAAACUUUCAACAACGGAUCUCUUGGCUCUGGCAUCGAUGAAGAACGCAGCGAAAUGCGAUACGUAAUGUGAAUUGCAGAAUCCAGUGAAUCAUCGAAUCUUUGAACGCACAUUGCGCCCGCCAGCAUUCUGGCGGGCAUGCCUGUUCGAGC